GUUCCUCCUCUCCUCUUUUCACUCAAAUUGCGCUUCCUGGCAUCCCGGGAAGUAUGCCUGUUUGAGGGUCAGUAUUAACAAAAAAUCGGUUUGGUUGCAGAUUGUUACGUUUCCGGAGUUUGGGCUAUCUUAACUUGUUUGGGUAAGGAGCUGAAAAUUGACCGUAUUUGCGCAGUUUUGGACUUACAUAAAUUUUUUUUUUAUUCGUCGAUUCAUAUUGCCAAAAUCUGAGUAGAUGCGAGAACUUC
rnacentral:misc_RNA from 1 species